rnacentral:rRNA from 1 species
AUUGAACGCUGGCGGCAGGCCUAACACAUGCAAGUCGAACGAGUGGCGGACGGGUGAGUAAUGUCUGGGAAACUGCCCGCUGGAGGGGGAUAACUACUGGAAACGGUAGCUAAUACCGCAUACCAUCGGAUGUGCCCAGAUGGGAUUAGCUUGUAGGUGAGGUAACGGCUCACCUAGGCGACGAUCCCUAGCUGGUAUGCGAGGAUGACCAGCCACACUGUAGAUGAGAGACGGGCCAGACUCCUACGGGAGUCAGCAGUGGGGAAUAGUGCACGAUGGGUGCAAGCCUGAUGGAGCCAGGCCGCGUGUAUGAAGAAGGCCUGCGGGUUGUAAAGUCCUUUCAGCGGGGAGGCGUUACCCGCAGAAUAAGCACCGGCUAACUCCUUGCCAGCCGCCUCGGUAAUUC